UACGUAGGGGGCAAGCGUUGUCCGGAAUCAUUGGGCGUAAAGAGCGUGUAGGCGGCCCGGUAAGUCCGCUGUGAAAGUCCAGGGCUCAACCCUGGGAUGCCGGUGGAUACUGUCGGGCUCGAGUCCGGAAGAGGAGUGUGGAAUUCCUGGUGUAGCGGUGAAAUGCGCAGAUAUCAGGAGGAACACCCAUAGCGAAGGCAGCUCGCUGGGACGGUACUGACGCUAAGGCGCGAAAGCGUGGGGAGCGAACAGG
rnacentral:rRNA from 1 species